UACGGCUAGGGAUUGCCUCAGUAGCGGCGAGUGAAGCGGCAAGAGCUCAGAUUUGAAAUCGUGCUUUGCGGCACGAGUUGUAGAUUGCAGGUUGGAGUCUGUGUGGAAGGCGGUGUCCAAGUCCCUUGGAACAGGGCGCCCAGGAGGGUGAGAGCCCCGUGGGAUGCCGGCGGAAGCAGUGAGGCCCUUCUGACGAGUCGAGUUGUUUGGGAAU
rnacentral:rRNA from 1 species